GACAGAGGAGCCAAGCGUUGUCCGGAUUGACUGGGCGUAAAGCGCACGCAGGCGGAUUCGCGCGUGGGGUGUGAAAGCUGGUGGCUUAACUGCCAGUCGCCAUCCCAUACGGCGCGUCUGGAGCCUUGCAGAGGGCAGUGGAAUUGCCGGUGUAGUGGUGAAAUGCGUAGAUAUCGGGAGGAACACCAGUGGCGAAGGCGACUACCUGGCCUGUUCUUGACGCUGAGGCGCGAAAGCUAGGGGAGCAAACGGG
rnacentral:rRNA from 1 species